rnacentral:rRNA from 1 species
CUGCCGUCGUAAGCACACCUCUAAAAGUACGAGUAUGCAACUAUGUCAAACUCAUAUACGUCAGGUCAAAGUGCAGCUAAUGAAAGGGGCGACGAUGGGUUACACCCUAAAUAAAGAUACGAAAUAUGGCACCAAAAGCCACAUGAAGGUGGACUUGGACGUAACAAAAAUACAAAAUUAAAAUGAAAACGAAUCUGAGACAUGCACACAUCGCCCGUCACUCUUGCCCAAAGGUGAGAUAAGUCGUAACAAAGUAGGUGUAACGGAAGUUGCACCUGU